CAGAAGCCAACUAGAUUGGCUACAAGGCCAGCCUCAAGAGAGGAAGAAACAGAUAUAUAUAAAAAAAUACAGGGGCGGAGGAGCCAAGAUGGCCGAAUAGGAACAGCUCCGGUCUACAGCUCCCAGCGUGAGCGACGCAGAAGACGGGUGAUUUCUGCAUUUCCAUCUGAGAUGUGGCACCUGAGGCCCAGAGAGACGUUCAGCAACUUACCCAGCAUCACCCAGUCCACAAGUGAAACACCCCUUCAUUUCAGAAGUGAAUACUCCAGAGGGUCUCACUCUGUCACCCAGGCUGAAGUGCAGUGACAGGACCACGGCUCAUUGCAUCUUUGACCUCCUGGGCUCAGCCUCCAGAUUAACUGGUACUACAGGAGUGGGCCACCCACACCUGGCUAAUUUUCUGAGAGACAGGUUUCACCAUGUUGCCCAGGUUGGUCUUGAACUCCUGGGCUCAAGAGAUCUGCCCACCUUGGCCUCCCAAACUGCUGGGAUUACAGGUGUGAGCCACCACACCCAGCCCACAGGAGCAUUCUAUUGCCAAACUGAAAUGGGGAGGUGGGCAGAACCAUCAAAGAGCAGACACCCACUGGAGACCCAGGAGCUUCAGGAAGAACCCAGGGCUGGAAAAAGAGAAGCAGUCAAUAAAUGCACAGGGAGCUUUCACAGUAGGACAAGGAAUUCCAGAGGACAAGGGAGAGCAGGCUUGGGGAGAAAUGGGGUGAGGGGAAGGCGCUGGCAUGAAAUACUCCUGGCCAACUUCUACUCACUCUUCUGAACUCAGCUUAAACAUGGCUUCCUCAGGAAGACUUCCAGGACCCUUCAGACCAGGUCCUGUUUCCUUGCCCUAUGCUCCCAAAGCACUAUGCCUUUCUCUUUUGGUCAUGUUUGUCCAACUUGUAAUUAACUAAUCCAUGACUUUGCCUCUGUGAGUGCUGGGAAUCCAGCGUGAACCACAUAGUGCCUAACAUCCACAGGAAGUCCAUUGAUUCUCAUUGGGUGGAUGGGAGGAGGGAUGGGUGGGUGGAUGGAUGAUCUGAAAAUCCAGAUGAGGGCAACAGAAGGAAGAUGUUGCAUUUGAGGAAGCAAGAGUUUGGGGGAGAACAGGAGGUAUAUAAAAAUAACAGCAUAUAACCUUACUGGAACUUUUGGGAAUUUGAUUUUAUUUUACAGAAAGCAUAUAGGCAAGCCUAUAUAUGCUUUCUGAAGAAGAGGUAGGAUCUACAAUGAGGGAAUUUUAUCACUGCUUAGGUGUCAAUGAGAAAAUGCAUUUGCCGGCUGCUGGCUAAUUCAGUUUCAUGGUUUAUUUUCAACUCAUCAUUUUUAAAACUGACUUGAAUUUUGUCUACAGCUACCUAUAGUUAAUCUGUCCUUGUGCCUCAACAUUCCCUCUCAAGCUCUUCUUUACAAUUUAAACCCCCAAAUAGUCCCAAUUCCAAAUAUUCUGACUUGCUGUCCAAAAACCAUCAAAAUACCUCGGAAUUUUCAUCAUGUCUACAUUCAUACCAUGCCUCCAAGACAGCGUCUCACAUCUGAAAAUGGCACAAAAAUCCCUAGUUAGCCCAUGUAUCUUGAUUUGGGACUCAGAAAAUGUGCUUUUAGCCCUCACCUCAUAUUUACUCUGUAAACCAAACAUAAAAUUCUAAACCCCUCAACUGACUGAAUGGACUGCUGCCUCUUGGCCAAGGGCAUUUCCAAAAUAAACCUGAAAAACUAGUUCAGGCCAUGAUAGGAAGGGAAGUCGAACAUCCCUCAUUAUACCCUCCUCCCUUUGGAAUUCAGGCACAACUGAUCAGCAUUAUCAUUAAACAGAGAUAUUAAGACUGACAAAACAGACUCUUUGUAGCAGUAAGAUACCAAAUUCCAACCUGACCCUAAUAUAGCAUCACAUGACAGAUAGCAGGCCCUGAAAGAAUUCAAAGUAUUUUACCCAAAAAUAUAUUUCUUUGACAUAUUUUGAAAUGGCCCUGCAAAGCUCUCUCUUGUAGGAAAAAUCCAUAUUCUGUAGAGAAUCCCCUUCCCUUUCCUGGUCUUUUCUGAUCCAGGAGAUAGUUAAUUGAGAGUCUGGCAGCUUUUUAGGUCUGAUAAGAGACAUUUGCCAUCUAUUCUCUCUGAAGCCAGCUACCUGGAGGCUUCAUCUGCAAUAAUAAGAACUUUGGUUUCCACAACCUCUUAUCUUAACCCAAAUCUUCCUUUUUAUUGAUUCCAGGUCUUUAGAUAAUAACUUAACUCUUUCGACCAAUUGCCAAUCAGAAAAUAUUUGUUUUUUUUUUUUUUGCAGGGGGGAUGGUACAUGUAGGAUAUAAUAAUGCUUCUUCAAAGGUGUUAGCCUAUAAAUUGUUAAGUACAAUGAGUUCUGAGAUCCUCUCCAAAGAACCAAUGUAUCAGUAUGUUCAGCUCCCCUGUUCUUUGUUCCUCAUUUUAAAGCUUAACUUCCUCAUUCUUUACAUCUCCUUGUCCCUAGUUUCAGUAAACAACCCCCUCCUAGCCUCUAUUACCUGCUCUGACCUUAGUCACCCUUGGUCACCUGCUCCGACCUUAGUCAUCCUUGGUCACCUGCUCUGUUCUUAGUCAUCUUGUACCUGUUCUGUAACUGUCCUUCCUGCCAAACUACUCUCCCUGCCACUCCAGCUCAUACCCCUGCUCUCUUUAAAAUAGCCCACUGGAAUGAGCUUAGACUGUGUGAUCCAACCCUAGCCAAAGGGGAACAACACAGCAGUAGGGGCUACCUGUGUCAGGGAUAAGAACCCCUUCCACUCCCUUGUGCUCUCGCCAUUGCUCCAUCUGCAAAACGCACCCUUCUAUAGAAGUAAAAUUGCCUUGCUGAG
rnacentral:lncRNA from 10 species